rnacentral:lncRNA from 1 species
UAGAUCCACUCUUACAUUAACCAACUUUCAGAAAUCUAUUUAAAUGAAAUAUGCCUUCAAGGAGGAAAUCAACCACACAAGAUUGACUGUGAACUCUGUGAAGUCAUUACUCUUUAUAUUUUGUAAAGCACAUUGAUAUUUCAUUAUAAUAAUUUAUUUUAAGUCCGAUGAGAAUAAAACCAAGUCUUUAAUCAUGUUUGAUUUCUUAAGAAAGAGGGCAAGAGAGGUGAACAAGGGUCAGUUUCAGAGUGACUUUUUCUUGUCUAAUCACACAGAGGUUACAAUCCUACCCCCUGCCUCUGGCAAAGGCAUCAUUAUUUCAGAGGAAAAAGUAUACUGUGCAAAUCACAUUGAAAAAUCAGUUUUGUGGUGGAAUCUGGAUCAGUCAGGAAAUUUGACCAAAGCAUGUCUGACAUAGUGGUGAGGAGAUUUUGUCACAUUGGCAAGGACAGGUAUUCUGAGUGUGGAGAACAAUCAACAAUGGAGAGAAACACGGAACACAAUUUUUUUGUUAGUAUGAUGGCAAGAAAAUGUUAAUUUGGAGGGUUUUAUUGCUUAUUAGUCACGGGCAAAAAGGCAGCACUUUUUAGAUGUUUAGAUGUGGGGCAUUCUGGUCUAGCCAGACAUAUUUAAUUUUCUGCAAAAGAAAUUAGGGAAGAGAGUUCUCUGGAAGGGACAAAGGAAGUAGGGAGCAGAUCACAAGGAACAUAUCUGUGGUGUGAUUUUACAAAAUGAGCCACCAGCAUAUGCAAUUUACCUCUAAACUGUUACAUAUUUGUCCUUGGUUGUACAGAUGUGCUAAGCAUUUAAAACUGGAGGACCAGUCCAUUUUUACAUUUCACUCAUUGAUAUGGGGGGUUUUACAAGGUAGGAACAAGGAAGAACCCUUCACAGCCAGACACUGCAAUACAGGAAGCUUUGGUACAUGUCAUCAUUUCAGAUAUAAGUCUUGAAACGUGGGAAAAUUGCCAUUUGGAAGAGAGUUUUCUUUUGUAGAGAUGUAUUAGCAGAAACUGGAAAGAUAGGUUUCAUAAAAUAACCACAAG